UUAUCUUCCCCAACCCACCCCCAAAAUCUCCACCGUAAUUUUUUUGGUUCUGGCAUUGCUCUGGAAUGUAAAAUGGAAGUGAGGAUAAGCACCUAAACAUUGAAAACGAGAAGUGAGCAAUGUAAAAUGGAAAUUGAAGGUUUGGGCAUCAAGUUAAGCUGAAUUUCAGCUAGUCUUAGCACUGCUUAUGACUUUUGAGGAUAGAACUGGAAGAAAAAUGGAGUGGAGUGUAAACAAUGCCUUCAAGAGUUACAAAGGCUGAUUCCAGAAGAAUUAAUACCGAAGCUCAAUAAUCCUGGCCCGUUAUUUCCAUAAGACUAUUGUUGGGUAAACUUUCAUCUGGCCAUCAGUCGUGAGAGCAGAAAGAUCGAUGGAAGG